ensembl:lncRNA
GAUAAAUUCUUCUAACAGGGAAAAUGACUGCUCAGCAACUCAGCCUCCUGCUGGGCCUGACAAUGGAAACCUAACCUUGCCAGCGUCCUAUGAAGAUAUAUGAUGAACGUUCCUUCCUAUCUACUUUGCAAACAUUCCAGAAUAUAAAUGUCAGAUUAAUGAUUCUUUCACUCUAAUAGUGAAAACUGCAUGACUUAGUCAUCUGUGUAUUCUUAUGUUCAAGAUCCAGAAACCAUUGUAUCUAUCAUCAAAAUGUUAAAAACAAGUUGGACCUCUUAAAGUAUUCACUGUUUUCACUGGACUGAUCUCUGUUGUAUAAAGGUGUAAUGAAAAGAAGUCUACAGAUACAUGCAGUAUAUGUUAUAAUAGUAUAAUCAAGCAUCCUUUGCAUUCUGAAACUCUUUGAAAAGGAGUUGAACUAUCUAAUUUCAUAGUCUAUAAUAACUUCUCUGAAGACUUUUUGGUGUAUUAUUCAUCCUGGGCAAUUCAUAAUGGAAGACAUCAGUAUGGACAGUGGUAGGGCAUCCUGGCUUUGUCAGUCAAAUACAAACGUACAAUUCAGCUAAUGAAGUAUGGCAGUGAAGUGCAGCACCAUUUUAUUGCCAUCCAAGACCCAUUCAUCUGUUGCUUUGGGACAAUUCACUCAAAUCCAGAUGCACAACUGCACAGGCUUGCUAAAGACCCAGAAGCAAUACAAGCAAACUUGCACACUGUGCAUACAGAUAUCAUAUAGCCUGGGGGGCUAUUUUACACUGUGAAUGUAAGUCAUAAGUUAUUAACUGAAACCGAGCCAGAACACGUAUACAGUGCUGUGUCUGACAUGAGAUAUAAACAUUACAGAAGAUUAUGCACAUUAGUUUACUGCAUUUAUUGCUGCUUGAUGUAUUGCCCCAGGACACAAGAAGGGAAGAGAAGGUAUAUUGUGACUACCUAAGAUGUUCUUCUAAGCCUCAAUUAACUAUCAUAAAGAAAUUAGUAUUGGAGAUUUGGCAUUAUGGAGCAUGAGCAAAUCAUUAAUGUUGUUGAAUAUCUAAGAAUUCUGCCCAGGCAAUAGCUUUCAAAAUGGAUAGGCUAGAAGCAACAGAAAGUAAGGAAUGUAAGACUACAAGAAAGAUCCUACUCAAAAAACUUUCAUGACAGUAAUCAAACCAAACAGUUUUAAGAGAAGAAUGCAUUGUGAUCUAUGAAGAACGUAGUUAG